GACAAUAGACAUAGACAUUUCGGUAGCUUACUCAUCAGAACUUCACAGUUAAGCGUGCUUGACCUAGAGUAGUACUGGGAUGGGUGACCUUCUGGGUAAACAGUGAAAUAUUGUGA
rfam:Cajanus cajan chromosome 1, whole genome shotgun sequence.